rnacentral:rRNA from 1 species
UUUCUGAUACCAGAGGUAAUGAUUAAUAGGGACGACUAGGGGGCAUUCGUAUUGAGACGUUAGAGGUGAAAUUCUUGGAUCGUCGCAAGACGGACUAAAGCGAAAGCAUUUGCCAAAGGUGUUUUCAUUAAUCAAGAACGAAAGUUAGAGGUUCGAAGGCGAUUAGAUACCGCUGUAGUUCUAACCAUAAAUGAUGCCAGCCAGCGAUCCGCCGAAGUUUCAUAAUUU